AGACAUUGAGACCUCAGCGAGUCGCUGCACGCAAUGCUCCAUCCAUGUUCUCUAAAAUUAUUGGAACAUCUGUAGAUGAGUUAAAUGAUGAUUCAUCAAAUAAUGAGUUGGUGCUAGAAGAUUCAGACAUGCAGAGCUCUGAAGCGUAGAGAAACAUGCCAAACGUGCAACAUAAAAUAUAAAAGAGGAAAAACCGUCACUGGUCAAGUCAAAGGAUGUAUCAAAGCCUAGUGAAGGUCCUGAAUCUCAUUUGAAUAAUGGGAGUAGGAAGAGAUUUGUUCUU
rnacentral:lncRNA from 1 species